GCAGCGGUAGUUCAGUGGUAGAACGUCUGCUUCCCAAGCAGAAAGUCGAGGGUUCAAGUCCCUUCCGCUGCU
rnacentral:tRNA from 1 species